AUUGAACGCUGGCGGCAGGCCUAACACAUGCAAGUCGAACGGCAGCACAGAAGAGCUUGCUCUUUGGGUGGCGAGUGGCGGACGGGUGAGUAACACGUAGGAAUCUACCCAGUAGUGGGGGAUAACCUGGGGAAACCCAGGCUAAUACCGCAUACGCCCUGAGGGGGAAAGCGGGGGGAUCUUCGGACCUCGCGCUAUUGGAUGAGCCUGCGUCGGAUUAGCUAGUUGGUGGGGUAAGGGCCCACCAAGGCGACGAUCCGUAGCUGGUCUGAGAGGAUGACCAGUCACACCGGAACUGAGACACGGUCCGGACUCCUACGGGAGGCAGCAGUGGGGAAUAUUGGACAAUGGGCGCAAGCCUGAUCCAGCCAUGCCGCGUGGGUGAAGAAGGCCUCGGUGUAAG
rnacentral:rRNA from 1 species